rnacentral:rRNA from 1 species
UACAGAGGUCCCAAGCGUUGUUCGGAUUCACUGGGCGUAAAGGGUGCGUAGGCGGUCGGGUAAGUCUGAUGUGAAAUCUCACAGCUUAACUGUGAAACUGCAUUGGAUACUAUCCGGCUCGAGGAAUGGAGGGGAGACUGGAAUACUUGGUGUAGCAGUGAAAUGCGUAGAUAUCAAGUGGAACACCAGUGGCGAAGGCGAAUCUCUGGACAUUACCUGACACUGAGGCACGAAAGCCAGGGGAGCAAACGGG